UAUGUAAAACGGUUUGCGUGGCAGUUGUUUGUGCCCGCCACUGUUUCCGGCUUCACACACUUCUGCUUGCCUGUGUGUUAGUUUUGACGUCGCAUCGAUUUUAGCUGCUGUUGAGCUCCUCUGACUUUCAUUGCACUUCGGGAUCAUUUAAGAUGGAGAAAACUGAUGCCACAUCGGAGCUCCAGUCCAGACUGUCGUCUCUGUCCGUCUCCUCUUUCUCUGGCAUCGCGUCCAAACCCUGUGACUCCAACCAGCUGGACAGACUACAAAGCACAGAUAUUUCUCAACCCAUAAUCCACCCUGACAACCAGAAGCAGAUGGAUGACAACAGCAACACCAAAGGAUUACAGCAACCCACCAAGGAUGAACCAGCUGCAGAAGGAGACACUGUGGAAAGCAGCACAGCUGAAAAAUCCUCUGAUCCCGGAGAGAGAAAAGCAUUACCACCUUUGCAGCCAGCCAACACAUGGACCACUGUGGCACUAAAAGAGCUGAAGGCUAAGCUGCGUCAAGAGAAAGACAGUGUGGUCACUGUUUACCGUGGAGACAUCAUGACCGUCCAUGUACCUACCAUCCCAGAGGCCAAGCGUGUGUGCUGGGAGUUUGCUACAGAUGGAUAUGACAUCGGGUUUGGGGUUUACUUUGACUGGUCACCUGUUACCACCCGAGACAUAACGGUGCACAUAAGUGAAUCCAGUGAUGAUGAGGAUGAAGAUUAUGAGCUUGAAGCUGGACCUAUGGUUCCUGGAGAUGUGGAGAAAGGGUCUAAAACUGCAGCCAAGUCUAAUUUGGGAGAGAUCCUUCCUGUGUACCGUCAGGACAGUCACCUGGCAGUUCAGGGGGGUAGUCACAGUUUCCCAGGCGAAGGCACAUACCUCAUAAAGUUUGACAACUCCUACUCCUUAUGGCGGAAUAAGACUCUGUACUACAGAGUGUUCUACAGUGCCUGAGGAACCAAGUGUACCUCUGCAGAUGAAUGUUUUGAUAAUCUAUAUUUUGCAUCACUUAUAUAUUAUAUAAACACUGUAUACAUCUUAUGUUAAUUCAUACACUGAUCUUUAUUUUGAUGCAAAUUUUAUUGUAUAGAUGCUAAACCAAACUCAGCCAAUCAGAUUUGUUCUAGUCUACACAAAAGCUUGAGUAGAAGUGUGUAGCUUGGUCAAUGUGCACAUGUGUUGUGUGUAUUUUUCAAAUGUGUGGAUGAGUUGUGAAUUGCCCAUAUACAUGUUUUAUAUUUAUGUCGUCUUGUCGCACCACAACACACAACUGUGGCCUCAGUAAUCAGGUAGUAUAUUGGUUCAGGGAGAGAUGCUUAAGCAAAUGUAUGAAUUGCUCAGUUCUGUAUGGUGAAUAAAGAACCCGACUCAGGUGAUGAAUAAUAAACGAUAUUUUCAUAUUUAUAUUCAGUUCACAGACAAAACACAGUCAUUAAUAAUUCUGCUUUAAUUUACCUGAGAUGUAUUGACAUGUUUGUUGUCUGUCCAAUAUCUAAUCUAAUCUCUGUCUAAUCCAAAUUUUAGUUGCAGUGACAGAAGUGAAAACCCUCAGGCACGCAUUCAGACUUACACCUUUGUUUUUUUAAAACCUGCAUAUACAACAUCCAUUAACUCCGUCACCAAGGAUACUGGCCAUAGCCUGCCUUUUUAUGACUUAAGUGCAAACUAUUUCCUGUCUCAAAAAGCCAAGUUGUAAUAUAACUAAUUCAAUAUUUACAUUAGUCCCCCAGGUAGCAUUUGGUGGAGGGGGUUGGGUUGGUUUGGUGCCUGUUUGUUUUCUGAAUGGUUAGGUUAUUGUAAAGGUUGACAAGCUACUAAACUUGUAUAGAAACAUCUUAUGUGCUGCUUUCUGUAUGAAUGCACAAUGAUUUACACAAACUCUGUUGACAAUCGAAGUGUUGUGCUGUAUUUCUCUGUUCAAUUUUUGUAAAGAAAUGUGUUGGUAUGAGGGAAAUUAUUACUAUAAUGUGGGCAUAUUACCAGCUUGAGGGAGUGUACUGUCCAUAAAUCUGCACAACCUCCUGGAUAUUUGCAUGUUUCCAAAGGGACCCUUUAACUGUGCUGCUGUAAUACCCAAUAUUGCUCUUGUGCUUUUUUUGUUCAUCAUGUUGUUAGUUUGUGUUGUAUGAAUAUAUAAUUGGUCUUUUACUCUACUUCUGCUUUUUAUUUGCUAAAUAUUUAUUUUUGGUAGACUAAUGAAUUUAAUUUAUAGCUUAAAAAAAUUACAAUGAUGCAUGAUAGCUGUUCAGCUGAAGAUUAACACCUUUGAUAUAGAGCAGUUUUACUCAUCUUUAGUUAUUUUAGCUUUAAUAGCAACUUUAACCCAGUCAGGGUCAUAGGAAUCGAUGCCAUGACACUAAAGGGACAGUUUAUUGUAGAGUAAGAGAAUAGUAUACACCUGUAUUUGUAUAACUGAUCUUUGGGCCAAAAGUUAUUCCACUAAAAAAUUGUGUUUAUGUUCAGAUUUCAGCCUUUCAGUAUUAAUUCCAUAUUAAUUCCACUUUUCACUGCAAAUAUCAGAAGUAUAUCACACCAAAUGUAAAAUAAGAUGAAUGAAAACAUACAUAAUGCAUAUUACAUACAAAGAUACAUAAUCAAACUUAACUAUUAGCCACUACGCACGUUGCUACAUAUAAUAAAUAAAAAUGAAAAUAGAACAUUAAUAAUAAUAAUUUUAAAAAAAAGUCCACAAUCUAACAAAGAUACUUAUAAGUGUCACGUGGUGCAAAGGGGGGGGGGGCUCACCCACUGCUUACGAUACUGAAUGAACUCCAUUUAAGGAAGGUAGACAUGAUGCUUUUCUGGGCUUCAGGUAACUCAUUUCGGUGGCUCCAUUUUUCUAACAGCAUGGGAAAAACACACUUUUAUGCACUGUGGUCCUUACACGAAGCACCUCGUCAGUUUAUCAGUAACGUGAACCGCACCAGCUACCAGCUCCAAAUCCCACUACCUUUACCCAAGCAGCUCAUCGUGUUCAGUCUGGGAGACUGGACCUCAUUUUCUAGCCACACAACAGUAUUAACUGAGGUGUUUGUUAGCCCUGAUGUCAAACCACAGAAAAUUGGGAUUAUUUCGCCACAUUCAAGUUGUUUGGUGUGGGAAGGAGACUGGGCAGUGAGCCUUUUAAACGAGUCCAGAGUUAAGAGCAGGAGAGGUGCAUAUGCCAAAGUGUUGCUCACUGUCUGUGGAGAGGUGAAAUCCAGCUUCGUUAGCAGUACACCACUGGUGAAAAGGAGACGUCCAGCCCCCAAUCAGUUGACCAGUUUCUCCCAGACCCUUCUGAGCAGUGCUAGCAACACCAAUAUCAUAUCACAGAGAUCAUCACCCGAGGACACGGUCAGUUAUGCAGAGCUCAAAACAAGCAAAGAGGAGAUUCAGGAUGUUAGCCUCAGAACCUCAGGUGUUUGGGCUUUGG